rnacentral:rRNA from 1 species
UUUGAUCCUGGCUCAGAGCGAACGCUGGCGGCAGGCUUAACACAUGCAAGUCGAGCGGGCGUAGCAAUACGUCAGCGGCAGACGGGUGAGUAACGCGUGGGAACGUACCUUUUGGUUCGGAACAACCCAGGGAAACUUGGGCUAAUACCGGAUAAGCCCUUACGGGGAAAGAUUUAUCGCCGAAAGAUCGGCCCGCGUCUGAUUAGCUAGUUGGUGAGGUAAUGGCUCACCAAGGCGACGAUCAGUAGCUGGUCUGAGAGGAUGAUCAGCCACAUUGGGACUGAGACACGGCCCAAACUCCUACGGGAGGCAGCAGUGGGGAAUAUUGGACAAUGGGCGCAAGCCUGAUCCAGCCAUGCCGCGUGAGUGAUGAAGGCCCUAGGGUUGUAAAGCUCUUUUGUGCGGGAAGAUAAUGACGGUACCGCAAGAAUAAGCCCCGGCUAACUACGUGCCAACAGCCGCGGUAAUA